rnacentral:rRNA from 1 species
CCUACGGGAGGCAGCAGUGGGGAAUUUUGGACAAUGGGCGCAAGCCUGAUCCAGCCAUGCCGCGUGCGGGAAGAAGGCCUUCGGGUUGUAAACCGCUUUUGUCAGGGAAGAAACGCCCCGGGCUAAUACCCUGGGGUAAUGACGGUACCUGAAGAAUAAGCACCGGCUAACUACGUGCCAGCAGCCGCGGUAAUACGUAGGGUGCAAGCGUUAAUCGGAAUUACUGGGCGUAAAGCGUGCGCAGGCGGUCUUGCAAGACAGAUGUGAAAUCCCCGGGCUCAACCUGGGAACUGCAUUUGUGACUGCAAGGCUAGAGUACGGUAGAGGGGGAUGGAAUUCCGCGUGUAGCAGUGAAAUGCGUAGAUAUGCGGAGGAACACCGAUGGCGAAGGCAAUCCCCUGGACCUGUACUGACGCUCAUGCACGAAAGCGUGGGGAGCAAACAGGAUUAGAUACCCUGGUAGUCCACGCCCUAAACGAUGUCAACUGGUUGUUGGGAAGGUUCCUUCUCAGUAACGUAGCUAACGCGUGAAGUUGACCGCCUGGGGAGGUACGGCGCGAGUAGAACGACAAGAAGUAGAGCGUGAGAGNGCGAGACGACGACGAGGAGAGG